UGUCUCCUGCGGUGUUCGAUGUUUGGUCUGGAACCCCUUGAGCCUAAUUUGUACCCCCGGGAGCCCUAACCGUGCCGGGCGUGCAGGCCCACCUCGUAGUGGGAAGCCCGAUGGCAUGGCGCAGCACCCACUUGAGACCCUGUCUCAAGGUCGAUGACCGAUGACGGCACUGGCGGGAGACAC
rnacentral:other from 1 species